rnacentral:rRNA from 1 species
UACGUAGGGUGCAAACGUUGCUCGGAAUCAUUGGGCGUAAAGCGCACGUAGGCGGCGCUCUAAGUCGGAUGUGAAAUCCCUCGGCUCAACCGAGGAAGUGCAUCCGAAACUGGAGUGCUCGAGUAUGCAAGAGGGUCGCGGAAUUCUCGGUGUAGAGGUGAAAUUCGUAGAUAUCGGGAGGAACACCAGUGGCGAAGGCGGCGACCUGGGGCAAUACUGACGCUGAGGUGCGAAAGCGUGGGGAGCAAAC